UGAGAUCUUUAGUUUACAAAGCAUUUUGGAUACAUCAUCCUUUUUGAGCCUCAACUUGUGAUCUCAGCAACUUGUGAGAUUAUUAAGUCACAUAUUAUCCACAUUUUAUAAGUGAAAAAUCUACGAUGUUUCAAAGGGCAGAUGACUUGCUUAAGGACACAGAGCUCUUAAAAGGAGCAGCUGCUUCCCCUAAUGCACGCAUUGUGACUGGCUCGAAGGAAACAGCAACCCUAACAGAAUCAUUUCCACACCACAACAGUCCUGCAAGCCUGCGAGGCACCAGGCACCAAAGAGAUGCCAAAAUGUGACAGGUAGAUUUUAAUUGUCAGAAGAUGGAAGAGCCCUCAGGCCAAAAGGCAUACCCGCUAUGAUUUCAUGCAAAAAGGAAAAGGAAUGGUUAGCCAUCUUUUUUAAGGAGGUUUUUUUUCCUCCACUAAUAUAGAGCCCUUGGUAAAUACUGUGAAUUUUCAUUACAAAAAGAUUGGAUAAAAUCCUGAUAAUUUUCCGUGAAAAUUAUGGCUGCAUCUAAUCAGGUUGUGUGAGAGUUUUUUCCAGCUCCUUAAGAACAUGGACCUCGAUAUCUAAUAAAGUCUCAAUCCUGAUCUAGACAAUCAUUCCCACCUACUAAGAUUUAUGUCCUUUCCACUGAAAAAAUCUGUGAAUAUAAUCAGUUGUCUUUGAGCCGGCUUCCUGGAGCUUCUUGCUUAUUUAAGAAUAUGGUGUGGAAAUGAAAGAGAUCAUGGGCCACUUUACUAAAACUGAGUGCACUAGGAAUUUAUAAAGGAGUAUGACUCUGAAUCUUGCAAGCCACAGGCUUUCAUUGGUGAUACAGCAUUCAAAAAUGCUACUACAUUUUGCUACCUGAUGAACAGAAAGGUAGAAUUUCAAAUCAAAAAAUUCAGCACCUGGUUCUAGAAGCUAAAAAUGUCCAUGAGUCCUCCUCCAUGCAUUAUCACAUCCUUAAAAAAUCUGUACACUUCUGGCCUUCGUUUUGGCUUGGAGAAUUAGAGCUGACUUUGAGCUUCUUGAAUUUUUUUUUUACUACUAUUACUUCAGAGCCUCAGUUAAUAGGAAAUAAUCAAGGUGAUAUCCCCAACACCUUGGUCCCAGGACACUCCUGAUCCCCUUAUGAAUGUUUCUUUUCCAUAAUAACAUCCCUGCAGUUGUAAAGUAUAAGGUGUUUUCAUAUUCAUGAUCUGAUUAAGUCCUACAUUAACCUUUUGUAUAGAUAGGGCAGUAAUAACAAUAAUAACAAUAAUAAUAAAUUAUAUAUAUAUAAAAUACUAUCAUUCCCAUUUUGUGAGCAGAUGAUAUCACUUAUGAAUAUUCACUAGCCUUGCCAAGCCUCAUAGAUUUUGCCCUAUGAUUCUCAGCUAGACUUUAGAAUUAUCUAAAGGGGUUAUUUAAGCAUAGGUACCAGAUAUUCACCACUGAGUGUCUGAUUCAACAAGUGUAGAGUAGGGUCCAAGCAUUUAUUUCUGUAACAAGUUUCUAGUCACUGCUAAUGCUGUCAAGAAUCACCCUUUAGGGGCAAUGUCCUACAGAUUGUGUGCAUAUCUGAGUAUCAAUGACAUAUCAAGGCAAGAUAGUCCUAAGAAGGAAGUUUGUUUUGCAUGAUGUUGCCUUCCUUUCUCCAAUCCUGACCUCCACCAGGAAAAAGUGGAAUGAAUGUAGGGUGGGGAACUAGCAAGAGAGCACCUCACUGUUUAGAAUAAAUUAAGGUCUCAGGAAUUACUCAACAAAACCCUUCAAUUUGCUUCUAACUAGAACCUACUGUUGACUGUUGUUGAUUAUCUUGAAGAUGAGUACCAGUUCACCAAUGAAGAGAUGUGAUAAGACUGGACCUAGGCAAAUGUGAUUAGAUGGAUCUAUAGGCAACUGAUCCAGUAACCAACAAUCUUUAGAUAGAUGGCUCCCUGUCAACUUAGGGGGAAGUUCUUAGAGGCAAGAGGGAGAGACUCACCCCUGACCUAUCCUAGUCAAUAUUUUCUGUAGGCUGGUAAGAAGUCUUGUAUCACAAGCUCAGUUUGAAGCAACAAGGUAAUGUAUCUCUUUUUAAAAAAAAAAAAAAAAAAGCUAAGAAAAGUUUCAGCUGUGUUGCGAAAUAAGAUCCAGAUCAAGGUAGCUGAUAGUAAGGCUGGUUCCUCUGGAAGCCUUAGGUGAGAAUCCAUCUCCUUGCCUUUUGUAGCUUCUAGAGACCAUCUGCACUCCUUAGCUCAUGGUGGGGAAAGGGCUCAGGUUUUAGUCUUUUUUUUUAAAUUUAUUUAGAAAUAACUUCACCUCUUGAUUCUGUCAUCACAUCUCUUACUUCUCACUGUGACCCUCCUAUCCCUCUCCUAUAAGACCCCUUGUGUUUACAUUUAGAUCCCAUCCACAAGACUCUUUUGCCAUAUAAGGUAACAUUCAUAGGUUCUGGGGAUUCAAAAAAAUGAAUAUCUUUUUCCGGGUCAUUAUUCAACCCACCACAGUCCAAUUGCAGUGUAUCCAUCAGACUACAUUCAGAAUGUAGAACCCCUUUCUCAGCACCAGAAUUAAGAGACUCUUUAAUAAAAUAUAUACAAAAGGGCGGUGGGCAGGACUAUGAAAAGCAAGAAUGUGACAGCCGUCUUGUCCAGUGUGGCUGAGAAGGGAGUGGGACCAGGAAACAGAUGAGGCCAGUGCCAGUACUUACCAGAUAAAAUGUCGAAGUCACUCAGCUCUUCCCUGUAAACCAAAAGAACCAGAGUCUCCUAAAUACCACCUCGGUCAAAGAUUCCAUGCUUUUAUAGAAAUCUAUCACGCUGUUCCUAGAUAACAUUUAAAUGCAAAACCAAGGAGUUCCCGCCUUGGCCUUGGCGCAGUGGUUAAUGAAUCUGACUAGGAACCAUGAGGUUGUGGGUUCGAUCCCUGCCCUUGCACAAUGGGUUAACGAUCCGGCAUUGCCAUGAGCUGUAGUGUAGGUUGCAGAUGCGGCUUGGAUCCCGCGUUGCUGUGGCUCUGGCGUAGGCUGGCAGCUACAGCUCCAAUUAGACCCCUAGCCUGAGAACCUCCAUAUGCCGUGGGAGCGGCCCAAGAAAUCACAAAAAGACAAAAAAAUAAAAUAAAAUAAAAUAAAAUAAAUGCAAAACCAAGAGCUUGUUUACCUAUCUCUAAUAUUCAGUAUAAAUCUUGUCCACUUUUCUUUUGAAUUAAAAAUUCACUUAAAUUUUGAAUUUAGAAUGUAUUAUCCAAGACCUUCUUGCUACAAAAAUAGUGGCAGGCUAUAAAAAUCUCUAGCACAAGUGCUUUUCCCUCACUAAUUCUUAAAAUCCUCCCCAACAAUACUCCUUUAGUCUAAGCAUCCAAUCGGUAGUCUUGGGGCAAUAAAUACACCCCUUUUACAUAUCGGAAACUUGAGGCACAGAAAAAAUAAAUUGCAGUUGCAUAUGAAGAACUAAGAGUUAAGAGCUGUUGCCUCCAGCUUUUCUGAGAUAGCAUCUUCCGCCAUGGGCAGGUGUAAUAACAGACAAUACAUGCAGUAUACGGAACAGAGUGUAAAGGCCUUGUCCUGAAGAUCUUGGUCUCUAGGCAGGACUGACAAACUAGAGGACAGUCACUCAGUGACUGCUGUCAUUAUUACAAGCGUCAAAGAGGUGGGAAAGGGCUCAGGUUUUAGUCUUCUUUUUUUUAGUGUGAUUUGGCCCCUUCUCCAAUAAGGGUGUGGACGUUGACCACUGAUUCUCCAAAGGAAAGAUGGCUCAUUUGAUAGAAAUCUGCUGAUGGUGUUCGAGUCAUCCCACAAAUACCAGUUUCAAAUGAUGAUUUACAGAGGGCCACGAAGAAUAAUUUGGAGGAAGUUUAUAGGAAGGAAAGCUUUGAGAGCUGAACCAGAAAAGGUGCUUGAAAGUAAAUCAAAUUAUGGCAUACAUUGAAUUAUGGCAUUUAUUAUUAUGUGCAGAGUAUGCAUGGAAUUUUGAACUAAAAGCUGAGGAAGCAAAGGUCUAGAAACUCUCAUGCAUAGUAAAUAAAUUAACCCUUUGUUCUCCUGCUUUCUAUGUUCCUUAUAUUCGAUGUCUUAUUCAUACAGAUGUACACUGAAAAGGACUAAUAAACCAUUCUCUGCCAUGGAUGUAUUUAACUGUUUGUGUAUGCGACUAAAAUGGAUUCCUCCAGGAGACUUUCUUUGGUUUCAUGUAGACACAGUCAGUAUUUCAAAGGCCACGAAUUCUUUGAGAAAAGGAGAGGGGUUGUGUCUGUUUACGACUAUCAAACUUUCCUAAGCUUAUUAAAUUAGGAACCCUUGUCCUUUUCUUCUGUAAUUUGAAAUUUUUUCUAGUAAUAUGUUUGGCGAAGAAAAAAAAAAAACUGCUAAAUAAGUCAGGGUCUAAUAACUGCAUUAAUGACUGUUCUAAAACCCAUGAGUUCAGAAUACUGUAUCAUUCAGGGCCUAGUCUUAACUUUCUCCUCUAAAAGAUCAGUUUUCAUUGCUGUUUUCUAUGCUGGAAACUACGUAGUGUAAGGAAAUCAGCUUAUCAUCAGCAGGUCAUCAGCCCUUGAAAUAUCUGCCC
rnacentral:lncRNA from 1 species